CCUACGGGGGGCAGCAGUGGGGAAUAUUGGACAAUGGGGGGAACCCUGAUCCAGCCAUGCCGCGUGUGUGAAGAAGGCCCUCGGGUUGUAAAGCACUUUCAGUGAGGAAGAACGCCUGGUGGUUAAUACCCAUCAGGAAAGACAUCACUCACAGAAGAAGCACCGGCUAACUCCGUGCCAGCAGCCGCGGUAAUACGGAGGGUGCGAGCGUUAAUCGGAAUUACUGGGCGUAAAGCGCGCGUAGGUGGCUUGAUAAGCCGGUUGUGAAAGCCCCGGGCUCAACCUGGGAACGGCAUCCGGAACUGUCAAGCUAGAGUGCAGGAGAGGAAGGUAGAAUUCCCGGUGUAGCGGUGAAAUGCGUAGCGAUCGGGAGGAAUACCAGUGGCGAAGGCGGCCUUCUGGACUGACACUGACACUGAGGUGCGAAAGCGUGGGUAGCAAACAGGAUUAGAUACACUGGUAGUC
rnacentral:rRNA from 1 species